rnacentral:tRNA from 2 species
GUUUAAUUAGUUUAAAUUAAAAUUGUAAAUUGUGGAUUUACAGAUGUAUAGUCAUUAAACA